AGCCUUCUGUAUUCAUUCUGAGAUUUCGUCACAGACCAAACCACAAGUGCUGAUAACACUCCCAAGAUAAGUGAAGAG
rnacentral:pre_miRNA from 1 species